rnacentral:rRNA from 1 species
UGGGGAAUAUUGGACAAUGGGCGAAAGCCUGAUCCAGCCAUGCCGCGUGGGUGAAGAAGGCCUUCGGGUUGUAAAGCCCUUUUGUUGGGGAAGAAAUCCUGCUGGCUAAUACCCGGCGGGGAUGACGGUACCCAAAGAAUAAGCACCGGCUAACUUCGUGCCAGCAGCCGCGGUAAUACGAAGGGUGCAAGCGUUACUCGGAAUUACUGGGCGUAAAGCGUGCGUAGGUGGUGGCUUAAGUCCGUUGUGAAAGCCCUGGGCUCAACCUGGGAAUUGCAGUGGAUACUGGGUCACUAGAGUGUGGUAGAGGGUGGCGGAAUUCCCGGUGUAGCAGUGAAAUGCGUAGAGAUCGGGAGGAACACCCGUGGCGAAGGCGGCCACCUGGGCCAACACUGACACUGAGGCACGAAAGCGUGGGGAGCAAACAGGAUUAGAUACCCUGGUA